rnacentral:lncRNA from 1 species
UGUAACAUCUGGUGUCUUUCAAACGUAAAAUUUGGUGUCUUGCCCAUUCCACCUCAGGUGCUCACAGGACAGCCACCAGCACCAGACACCUGUCCCCAGAGCAGUGGGACGGCGCAGGUGCUAUGGAGGGCCCACCAAAGUCUUGGGAGCCGAAGGACUGAAGUAGAUGACGGCAUGAAAGGAACUCAACUGCUACUUCUGACAACACCAUCCCACUUGGCUGUGGAUAACCCACACAUCGGCAGAGCACGUAGCCAGUUCUGGCAAUGAAAGUACCUCUCACCCC